AAUAUUGCGCAAUGGAGGAAACUCUGACGCAGCGACCCCGCGUGAGCGAUGCAGGUCUUCGGAUCGUAAUGCUCUGUCCUUGGGGCAGACGUUCGUAGGAUUUGACGGUACCCGAGGAGGAGGCCCCGGCUAACUACGUGCCAGCAGCCGCGGUAAUACUUAUGGGGCAAGCGUUGUCCGGCAUUAUUGGGCGUAAAGGGUGCGGAGGCGGCUUUUUAAGUCAGAUGUGAAAGACCACGGCUUAACCGUGGGGUUGCAUUUGAAACUGGAAGGCUUGAGUAUCGGAGAGGGUAGUGGAAUUCCCAGUGUAACGGUGAAAUGCGUAGAUAUCGGGAGGAACACCAGUGGCGAAGGCGGCUUUCUGGACUGUAACUGACGCUGAGGCGCGAAAGCUGGGGUAGCGAAC
rnacentral:rRNA from 1 species